CGCACGGGUGAGUAGCGCGUGGGAACCUGCCCAACAGUGGGGGAUAACCGAUGGAAACGUCGGCUAAUACCGCAUGUGCCCGGGGCAACUCGGGGAAAGAUUUAUCGCUGUUGGAGGGGCCCGCGUCGGAUUAGCUAGUUGGUGGGGUAACGGCCUACCAAGGCUAUGAUCCGUAGCUGGUCUGAGAGGAUGAUCAGCCACACUGGGACUGAGACACGGCCCAG
rnacentral:rRNA from 1 species